rnacentral:rRNA from 1 species
GAUGAACGCUGGCGGCGUGCCUAAUACAUGCAAGUCGAGCGAACAGACGAGGCGCUUGCUCCUCUGACGUUAGCGGCGGACGGGUGAGUAACACGUGUAUAACCUACCUAUAAGACUGGGAUAACUUCGGGACACCGGAGCUAAUACCGUAUAAUAUAUUGAACCGCAUGGUUCAAUAGUGAAAGUCGGUUUUGCUGUCACUUAUAGAUGGAUCCGCGCCGCAUUAGCUAGUUCGUAAGGUAACGGCUUACCAAGGCAACGAUGCGUAGCCGACCUGAGAGGGUGAGCGGCCACACUGGAACGGAGACACGGUCCAGAGGCCUACGGGAGGCAGCAGUAGGGAAUCGUGCGCCAUGGGCGGAGACCUGACGGAGCAACGCCGAGUGAGUGAUGAAGAUCUCCGGAUCGUAAAACUCUGUUAUUAGGGAAGAAAAAGUGUGUAAGUAACUAGGCACGUCUUGAAGGUAACUAAUUAGAGAGCCACGGCUAAAUACGUG